CUACGGGGUGCUCCAGUGGGGAAUGUUGGACAAUGGGGGAAACCCUGAUCCAGCAAUGCCGCGUGUGUGAAGAAGGCCUGCGGGUUGUAAAGCACUUUCGGUUGGGAGGACUGCUUCUAGCACUAAUAUUGUUGGAAGUUGACGUUACCUUCAGAAGAAGCACCGGCUAACUCCGUGCCAGCAGCCGCGGUAACACGGAGGGUGCAAGCGUUAAUCGGAAUUACUGGGCGUAAAGCGCGCGUAGGCGGCUAGAUCAGUCGGGUGUGAAAGCCCCGGGCUUAACCUGGGAACUGCAUCCGAUACUGUCUAGCUUGAGUACAGGAGAGGGGAGUGGAAUUCCACAUGUAGCGGUGAAAUGCGUAGAUAUGUGGAGGAACACCAAUGGCGAAGGCAGCUCUCUGGCCUGAUACUGACGCUGAGGUGCGAAAGCGUGGGGAGCAAACAGGAUUAGAUACCCGCGUAGUC
rnacentral:rRNA from 1 species